CCUACGGGUGGCAGCAGUGGGGAAUAUUGGUCAAUGGAGGAAACUCUGACCCAGCAAUGCCGCGUGCAUGAUGACGGUCUUCUGAGUGUUAAGUUCUUUUCUUAGGGAAGAAAACGGUGACGCUACCUUAUGAAUAAACCUAGGCUAACUACGUGCCAGGAGCAACGGUAAUACGUAGGAGGCGAGCGUUAGGCGGAUUGACUGGGCGUAAAGGGUGCGUAGGUGGUUUGGCAAGUUAGGCGGGGAACUCCAAGGCUCAACCUUGGAACUGCUACUAAUACUGUUGGACUUGAGUGCAGGAGGGGCAACCGGAAUUCAUAGUGUAGCGGUGGAAUGCGUAGAGAUUA
rnacentral:rRNA from 1 species